CAACGAGGAGCUGAGACCUAGAAGAGUUAAACUAUAUCAUUUCUUGGUACCCAAUCUAGACCGUAUGUAUUUGUGUGAGUGUUUCUUGGUUUGUUUUCAGAUAUGUUCUUACUCUUUAGCCCAGACUGGCCUGAAACUACCUAUCUAUUUAUGUGUGGGUUUUGCCUGCCUGUAUGUCUGUGCACCCUGUCCUCAAAAGCCUGCGAAGGCAUUGGACCCUCUGGAACUGGAGUUAUGGAUGGUUGUGAAUCACCAUGUGGGUGCUGGGGUUCUAGUCUGGCUCCUGUGAAGGAGCAGCUAGUGUUCUUAGGCCACUGAGCCAUUUCUUCGGCCUCGUU
rnacentral:lncRNA from 1 species